rnacentral:rRNA from 1 species
UACAGAGGUCUCAAGCGUUGUUCGGAUUCAUUGGGCGUAAAUGGUGCGUAGGCGGCGCGGUAAGUCGGGUGUGAAAUCUCGGAGCUUAACUCCGAAACUGCAUUCGAUACUGCCGUGCUUGAGGACUGGAGAGGAGACUGGAAUUUACGGUGUAGCGGUGAAAUGCGUAGAUAUCGUAAGGAAGACCAGUGGCGAAGGCGGCCUUCUGGACAGUGACUGACGCUGAGACGCGAAAGCGUGGGGAGCAAACAGG